AUUUAAUCAGCUUUGGAAACUUUUUUUUGGAGUUAUAUGUAACAAAAUGCCUUCUUGUACCGGAUUGAAUUUAUGCUUAUGAAGUAAUCCACCUUGUUCCAAUACUAUUUGUCUGUUUCCUCCAACAUAAAGACAAGCAUCCAUUUUUAUCUUCAAGCAACCAAGUAGUUGUACCUGAUCUACAUUAAGGACUCAGGAAAACAGAGAAAGGAGAGCUGAAACCACUGAAGGGUCAAAAGUACAUGAAAACCAUUACACCACCUGCUGAAAAACGUGAAUUCUGUUUGAAGGGAAGAACUGUCAUGACCUACAUGCCCAACUGUGAAAGGUGGCCUCCUCGAGCUAUGUUUUGAAUCGCUGUCAUAGAAGAGCGGAGUCGUCUUCUUCAGAGCCUCAAGGUCCCAGACUGUUUAGUCUACCAUGAGGGUAGAAAUUCAGAGGAGAUAUUUGAAUGAAACAUUUUAAAGUUAUGCCUGUGUUAUUUUGCAUAAAUAUAAUUUCACUCUUUGUCAAAAUCCACUGCUGAAUGUAUUUCAAACAAAACUUCAGACACCGGAAGGGAAAAAAAUAUGACCAACAAAAAUACAAUUAUACUUUUCAUUUAGUAUUGAUGCAAUGUAUGGUUUAAAGUGAAUAUAUGGUUCAAUAUAACUUAAAUAUAAAAGAUUUCUUGUAUCAAACCCUUCCUAAAAUAUCUGUCAUCCU
rnacentral:lncRNA from 1 species